rfam:Ovis aries breed Texel chromosome 4, whole genome shotgun sequence.
UAGCUCAAUUGGUAAAGAAUCUGCCUGCAAUGCAGGAGACCCUGGUUCAAUUCCUGG